rnacentral:rRNA from 1 species
CUAGCCUAACUGCAAAGAGGGCGGUUACCACGGUGUGGCCGAUGACUGGGGUGAAGUCGUAACAAGGUAGCCGUAGGGGAACCUGCGGCUGGAUCACCUCCUUA